GGUAGCUCAGUUGGUUAGAGUGUGGUGCUGAUAAGGCCAGGGUUUGCAGGUUCGAUUCCCACAUGGGGCACCU